GACGAACGCUGGCGGCGUGCUUAACACAUGCAAGUCGAACGGAAAGGCGCGGCUCUUGUGGGGUGCUCGAGUGGCGAAGGGGGGAGUAACACGUGAGUAAACUGCACUUGACAGUGGGAGAACAUCAGGAAAAUGGGGAGAAUAUCGGAGAGGAGCUACUGAUGCAUGGGGGGGGUUGGAAAGAGUCGGCGGUUGGGGAUGGAUUCGCGGGUUAUGAGCUGGUUGGUGGGGUAGUGGCGUCCCAAGGCUUUGAAGGGUAGGCGGCCUUGGAGCGUGGCCGGCCACAUUGCGACUGCGAUACGCCCCAGACUCCUACGGUCGGCAGCAGUCGGGAAUAUUGCACAAUGGGCCGACGCCUGAUGCAGCAAUGCCCCGUUCGGGAUGCCGUCCUUCUGGUUGUAAACCGCUUUCGCCUGUGACGUACCCUUCUUGACGGUACUGAGUCAAGAAGCACCGGCUAACUACGUG
rnacentral:rRNA from 1 species